UUAUUAUUUUAUAAUAAAUUAGCGCCUAGUACCUCGGGCAAUAGAGGACUUUCUCACCUUAAGGGCACCUAGUUCUUUUGACAACACUGUUCCAAACAUGAAAAUUAAUUUAACAGAAGUAAAUUGAAUUGAAUUCUUGCACUUUUUUUUUUGACUUCCAAAACAAUGUUAGAAUUAGACUAAACCAGCCGGUUUGACUGGUUUAAUUGAGAAUUGGACCAUUGGCUGGUUCGGUUCUAAAA
rnacentral:misc_RNA from 1 species